GGUAAUAUGCCUGAUAAAAGGAUUAUUUUGAUGAAAUAAAUUAUAUAUUUAAAAUAUUGUUACUU
rnacentral:tRNA from 1 species